UGUGCCAGCAGUUGCGGUUAUACAAUGAAGGCUAACGUUAAUCAUAAUGGUUUAAAGGAUUUGUAGAAUGAAUAUUAUAAAUAAUAAUAUUUAGAGUUAAUUAAAAUAUAAUUAAAGAAUUAUAAUAGUAAGGAUGAAAUAAUAAUAAUAAUUAUAAGACUGGUAAUAAUGAAAAUAUUAAUUAAUAAUUAACUGACAUUGAGAAAUGAAAACUAAAGUAGCAAAGCAGAUUCGAUACCUGUGUAGUUUUAGUUGUAAACGAUGAAUACAUAUUUUAUAUAAUAUAUUAUAAAAUAAAAUGAAAAUUAAAGUAUUCCACCUGAAGAGUAUAUUAGCAAUAAUGAAACUCAAAACAAUAGACGGUU
rnacentral:rRNA from 1 species